rnacentral:rRNA from 1 species
CUAAGGCUCCAGAGGAAGCCACGGCUAACUCUGUGCCAGCAGCCGCGGUAAUACAGAGGCGGCAAGCGUUGUUCGGAAUUAUUGGGCGUAAAGAGCACGUAGGCGGCCUUGCAAGCCAGUUGUGAAAGCCUUCCGCUUAACGGAAGAAUGCCAGCUGAUACUACAGGGCUUGAGUACGGGAGGGGAGAGUGGAACUUCUGGUGGAGCGGUGAAAUGCGCAGAUAUCAGAAGGAACGCCGGCGGCGAAAGCGACUCUCUGGCCCGAAACUGACGCUGAGUGUGCGAAAGCUAGGGGAGCAAACGGGAUUAGAUACCCCGGUAGUCCUAGCCGUAAA